rnacentral:rRNA from 2 species
CAGAUUGAACGCUGGCGGCAGGCCUAACACAUGCAAGUCGAGCGGAUGAAGGGAGCUUGCUCCUGGAUUCAGCGGCGGACGGGUGAGUAAUGCCUAGGAAUCUGCCUGGUAGUGGGGGAUAACGUCCGGAAACGGGCGCUAAUACCGCAUACGUCCUGAGGGAGAAAGUGGGGGAUCUUCGGACCUCACGCUAUCAGAUGAGCCUAGGUCGGAUUAGCUAGUUGGUGGGGUAAAGGCCUACCAAGGCGACGAUCCGUAACUGGUCUGAGAGGAUGAUCAGUCACACUGGAACUGAGACACGGUCCAGACUCCUACGGGAGGCAGCAGUGGGGAAUAUUGGACAAUGGGCGAAAGCCUGAUCCAGCCAUGCCGCGUGUGUGAAGAAGGUCUUCGGAUUGUAAAGCACUUAAGUUGGGAGGAAGGGCAGUAAGUUAAUACCUUGCUGUUUUGACGUUACCAACAGAAUAAGCACCGGCUAACUUCGUGCCAGCAGCCGCGGUAAUACGAAGGGUGCAAGCGUUAAUCGGAAUUACUGGGCGUAAAGCGCGCGUAGGUGGUUCAGCAAGUUGGAUGUGAAAUCCCCGGGCUCAACCUGGGAACUGCAUCCAAAACUACUGAGCUAGAGUACGGUAGAGGGUGGUGGAAUUUCCUGUGUAGCGGUGAAAUGCGUAGAUAUAGGAAGGAACACCAGUGGCGAAGGCGACCACCUGGACUGAUACUGACACUGAGGUGCGAAAGCGUGGGGAGCAAACAGGAUUAGAUACCCUGGUAGUCCACGCCGUAAACGAUGUCGACUAGCCGUUGGGAUCCUUGAGAUCUUAGUGGCGCAGCUAACGCGAUAAGUCGACCGCCUGGGGAGUACGGCCGCAAGGUUAAAACUCAAAUGAAUUGACGGGGGCCCGCACAAGCGGUGGAGCAUGUGGUUAUUCGAAGCAACGUACCUUACCUGGCCUUGACAUGCUGAGACUUUCCAGAGAUGGAUUGUGCCUCGGGACUCAAAACAGGUGCUNAUGGCUGUCGUCAGCU